rnacentral:rRNA from 1 species
AACGAACGCUGGCGGCAUGCCUAACACAUGCAAGUCGAACGAGACCUUCGGGUCUAGUGGCGCACGGGUGCGUAACGCGUGGGAACCUGCCCUUAGGUUCGGAAUACCUCCCGGAAGGGGGUCUAAUAACGGGAAAUGGCCUCGGACCAAAGAAUUUACGGCUUUGGAUGGGGCCCCGUUGGAUUAGCUAGUUGGUAGGGUAAAAGCCUACCAAGGCGACGCUCCAUAGCUGGGCUGAGAGGAUGAUCAGCCACACUGGGACUGAGACACGGCCCAGACUCCUACGGGAGGCAGCAGUGGGGAAUAUUGGACAAUGGGCGAAAGCCUGAUCCAGCAAUGCCGCGUGAGUGAUGAAGGCCUUAGGGUUGUAAAGCUCUUUUAACCGGGAUGAUAAUGACAGUACCGGGAGAAUAAGCUCCGGCUAACUCCGUG